GGCUGAGUGGACUGGCGGGACGAGAAAAGGGGCGGGGCGUGCCCAAUCCGGGCUGAAGAGCGUUACCAUGGCAAACGUGCCGCGGAGGCCCUGAGAGGCCACCCGCCCUAUGUUGGUCUGCGAGAAAUCAAACUUCGAACAGGACAAGCCCGAAGCCCGCUUCUCCGGGAGACGGGGUGCCACAAUUACGAGAUGAAGGUAUAUACUGCCACUCAAUCUCACUGGGAUUGGCACCCAUAUGCACUAUGGUCAUUUUGCUUGUGUCCAUCAAACUUCUGAUCCUAAGAUUGCACCUUUGGCAUACUGGCUACUCCAAAACUUCUAUAAUGAUGGUAGAGUUCAGUGAAGUGGAGCUUCAGGCCUGCCAUCCCCAUGCUCCUGGCAAGCAGCAGCAUCUCCCCUGA
rnacentral:lncRNA from 1 species